CCACGUGUAUAACAAUAGGUACACUCCAGGUACAUUCAAGCAUAGGAAGUACUACCAAGGAGCUAAAACACGUACUAACAGCAAACAUGUACAUUCAAGCAUCCACGUAGCUACCAAGUAGCUACCAUUUCUACCAGCAGCAGCAACAGCCGCCUGAAAGACAAGGAGGUACUACCACCACCAGCAGCAACCAUCCAUCACCACCAGCGGCGACAUUUCAAAGACGCCCUCCCCUUGUUGUUGCUUGGCGUGCUGCAUCACAAGUCCCCCUAGACACACAAAAUUUAGAUGUUCAAAACAUAUCAACAUGUUGAGCAGAUAGGGAAUCAUGGAGCAAAUGUUAGUGUGGUGCAAGGCGACAGAUUACAUGAUUAAAUAUUAACAGAAGAAGAAUCGUUGAAUAAAUCGUGUGAAAUGGCAUGGUGGAUUUGGAAAGUAACAUUCAAGCGGCAGUUUGAAUCGAUGAGCAGACUAUACAGAUUCUAACAAGGCUACAAGGUUACAAGGCUACACAUUUGAACACAAGAAGCCAUAAAUUUGAACAACCAAAUUAAGAAUAGGAGUAGAUCAACAAUUGCAUAGCAACUAAAUUCUAAAUAUCACUAACCAACAAUACCCAAAUGACGUGGUGCGGCGACACAGAAACAUGGAAACCAACACAAAGUCUGCCAAAAUUUCAUCGCAUCACCGAGCAAACACUGAGAUCAGGUGGAAGAGGCCAACACUGAAUAGAGCGGUAACAGAGAGGGAAUGGGGGAGCGGAUAAAUUACAACAUCACAAAAGAUACUUCCACUUCUCACCAUCGACCUUGCAAACCUGCGAUUUAAACACAAAUCAGGACACGGGAUUUGCAAGAAAAACUAUCACAGCACGAGUUCGAAUAAGAACAAGGAGAUAGGAGCGGGAGCAAAGGGAACCGAGAUGCUUACCAUGGAGACCUGCUUGAUGUUGGAGUCCUUCCUGAAUAUGUCCCUGCAAAAAUAGAACCAAAAUGGGCCCCGGUCAGGACGCGUCACCACGCCACAGAAACAACAUGAAUCGAACCACAACAACAAAUCAGAUCUCGGGCUCACAUGAGGACUAAGACAGCGCUUGGGCUUGUUGUUGUCUUUCUUGGCCUUGCUCUUCUUCACCACAAGUCUGCAUCACCACAGAAACAAUAGCAGCAAAGCGAAUCAGAACCCAACGCGAAACAACAUCAGGGAAACCCAAGCAGAACCACCACCGGAAAUGAGUCCAUCACCUAAAACCAAACAAAAAUGAACAAUCCAAAAGAUGUAGUAUGAGUAUGUACAUUACAAGGAACAAUUUUUUGCAUUGACAACAGAAGCUAUGCUCACAAAUUUGUAUUGUAGGUACAGGAAAUGUGCCAGAAAUCAUAUAAGCAUACACAAUUACACACAUGAUACUUAGAUCACACUGUCAAUGCAUACUACACGAGUCACUCUUAUGAGAUAAUGGCAUGUAGCUGUACGCAGCUACUUGACCAUGACAAUUUAUACUACACGAGUCACUCUUAUAUAAUAUAAUUGAACAAAACACUGCCAUGCAUUUACUGGACUAUGAUCAGGUGCAAGUUGAUGAGAAUCAUCAUGCUGAAACUGAUACAACCACAUCAUAUCCUUCUAACGUUCCUAGUUCACUCAGAAAACACUUCACCAACAUCACAUAAUUGCAGUCUGAAAGCACAAUUCACUCAAAAGGACACAAAUCAGUAUGCACAAGUGUUGGACCUUCAAAUAAGCAUACUUGAAUUCACUGGUAAGCAUUAGCAGAACUAAUAUAUAUUUUUGCAUGAUCUUAGUGUAUCUCUACAUCACAUAGAUUCACCCACUCUAUCACUACCAAUUCUACUACAGAGUAAGAAUGGAAUGAUG
rnacentral:lncRNA from 1 species